rnacentral:rRNA from 1 species
UGCCAGACUCCUACGGGAGGCAGCAGUGAGGGAUAUUGGUCAAUGGGGGAAACCCUGAACCAGCAACGCCGCGUGAGGGAAGACGGUUUUCGGAUUGUAAACCUCUGUCCUCUGUGAAGAUAAUGACGGUAGCAGAGGAGGAAGCUCCGGCUAACUACGUGCCAGCAGCCGCGGUAAUACGUAGGGGGCAAGCGUUAUCCGGAUUCACUGGGUGUAAAGGGAGCGUAGACGGCGACGCAAGUCUGGAGUGAAAGCCCGGGGCCCAACCCCGGGACUGCUUUUGAAACUGAGUAGCUAGAGUGCAGGAGAGGUAAGCGGAAUUCCUAGUGUAGCGGUGAAAUGCGUAGAUACUAGGAGGAACACCAGUGGCGAAGGCGGCUUACUGGACUGUAACUGACGUUGAGGCUCGAAAGCGUGGGGAGCAAGCAGGAUUAGAUACCCCGGUA